GGAGAUUUAGUUGAAAAACAACAUUAAAUUGCAGAUUUAAAAGUAUAAUAUCUAUAAUCUCCU
rnacentral:tRNA from 1 species